rnacentral:rRNA from 1 species
GACGAACGCUGGCGGCGUGCUUAACACAUGCAAGUCGAACGCUGAAGCACCAGCUUGCUGGUGUGGAUGAGUGGCGAACGGGUGAGUAAUACGUGAGUAACCUGCCCUUGACUCUGGGAUAAGCCCGGGAAACUGGGUCUAAUACUGGAUGCUACAUGUCACCGCAUGGUGGUGUGUGGAAAGGGUUUACUGGUCUUGGAUGGGCUCACGGCCUAUCAGCUUGUUGGUGAGGUAAUGGCUCACCAAGGCGACGACGGGUAGCCGGCCUGAGAGGGUGACCGGCCACACUGGGACUGAGACACGGCCCAGACUCCUACGGGAGGCAGCAGGGGGGAAUAUUGCACAAGGGGCGAAAGCCUGAUGCAGCGGCGCCGCGUGAGGGAGGACGGCCUUCGGGUUGUAAACCUCUUUCAGCAGGGAAGAAGCCACAAGUGACGGUACCUGCAGAAGAAGCGCCGGCUAACUACGUG